rnacentral:tRNA from 5 species
AGCGGGUAUAGUUUAGUGGUAAAAGUGUGAUUUAACGAUGCGGGUUCGAUUCCCGCUACCCGCUU